GCCAAGAUAGCUCAGUCGGUAGAGCAGGAGACUCUUAAUUUCUUGGUCGUGAGUUUGAGCCCCACAUUGGGCA